UGCGGUGGGCUGCACUUCUCGCCUAGUAGGACGUCGCGACCCGUUGGGAUGUUCCGUUCACUGGCCCCUGGUGGAGCCCGCGCCGGAGCGUGGCCUUGUGCCGCGUUGCUGUUUGCACGGACCCGGGGUGACCUGAUCGGCGCCCGACGGUAUCAAAGCUUGGGAAGAGGCCGCACAGAGGAUGCGUUCGAUGGCCGUUUCGGCCUACACUCGGACAGGCCUGCACCCGGUCAGCGGCGCUUCUGCUUUCGAUACUCGUCCGACCCGUCUUGAAACACGGACCAAGGAGUCUAACAUGUGCGCGAGUCAUUGGGCUCUGCGAAACCUAAAGGCGAAAUGAAAGUGAAGGCCACGCACUUGUGCUGGUGCUUAGGGGUGAUGGUCGUUCCUACACGGGCGGCCCGCAACCCCGGGGCGUCUCGUUCUCUUUGAGAAGUGGCGCACCCAGAGCGUACACGUUGGGACCCGAAAGAUGGUGAACUAUGCCUGGCCAGGACGAAGUCAGGGGAAACCCUGAUGGAGGUCCGUAGCGAUUCUGACGUGCAAAUCGAUCGUCGGAGCUGGGUAUAGGGGCGAAAGACUAAUCGAACCAUCUAGUAGCUGGUUCCCUCCGAAGUUUCCCUCAGGAUAGCUGGCGCUCAUAUAGAGUUUCAUCCGGUAAAGCGAAUGAUUAGAGGCCUUGGGGCCGAAACGACCUCAACCUAUUCUCAAACUUUAAAUGGGUGAGAA
rnacentral:rRNA from 1 species